AAUCUUCGGCAAUGGACGGAAGUCUGACCGAGCAAUGCCGCGUGAGUGAAGAAGGUCUUCGGAUUGUAAAACUCUGUAAUUAGGGAAGAAAGAGCUAUGGAGGGAAUGCCAUAGAAGUGACGGUACCUAAUGAGAAAGCCACGGCUAACUACGUGCCAGCAGCCGCGGUAAUACGUAGGUGGCGAGCGUUGUCCGGAAUUAUUGGGCGUAAAGCGUGCGUAGGCGGUCUAUUAAGUCUGAUUUGAAAGCCCGUGGCUUAACCAUGGAGAGUGAUUGGAAACUGAUAGACUUGAGUACAGGAGAGGAAGGUGGAAUUCCACGUGUAGCGGUGAAAUGCGUAGAUAUGUGGAGGAACACCAGUGGCGAAGGCGGCCUUCUGGCCUGAGUCUGACGCUGAUGCACGAAAGCGUGGGUAGCAAACAGG
rnacentral:rRNA from 1 species